CCAUGGGGCCGGAUAAAUGGCUUCGAUGGGCCGCAUCCGCCCCCCGGGCCUUAGUUUGGGGACCCCUGCUCUAGAACAUCACAGUUUCAUAAUUAACUUUAUCUAUAGCAAAAAAUGGAGGCCGGGAGGGAGGGAGGGAGGGAUCCAAGGUUGUAGCUAUUGAGGGGCUAAGUAAUGAUAUUACUUCAUAAAAAUUCAUCCUCCUCAAAUUAAAAUAUCUUUUAGUUUCAUAAUUUCUAGCAUUACAGAGAGUAAGGACCUUAUCCCAUGAGGGGUGGGAAAAGCAUUAUCUUAUUGUGAGAGGAUCUUAUUCAUCCUCUUGCAUUUAAAAUCAAAUCGUAUUCUUUCUCAGAUCUCAUCACAUAUUGUUCUUUCUUGUCUUUUCUCCUGAAAUCAUCCAUUUUUAGAUUUAUCACAUGAGCAAGUGCAAUUCACUCUAAUUUAAAAAACUUGGAAAAAAACUUUGGCGAUACUUAACUUUCCUCUCCAAUUCCGUUACUCUAGAGAAGACCCAAGGUACUGUUCUUAAGACAGACACCACUUUUGGGAUACUUGACUUUUCUCUCUAAUCCCAAAACUCUAGAGCAAGGGGCCCCUGGAAGGCAACUAUCCAGCCCCCACGGCAGUGGCUUCCUCCUUCUCCUCUGAGGAAGGUGCAUGCCGCCACUCCGUCCUUUCCCUCCACAAGCCUUUGCAGCCCUUUCUGCACUCUCCCUGCACAAGCAUUUGCAGGCAUUCCUGGCUCUUCCUUCUCCCUGCACAAGCCUUUCCCGCCUUCUUCCUUGCCCUGUGCCUGUCUGGAGUUGGAGUUGGAGCUUUGCUUGUGUUUACAAAGGCUGGCCAUGCACCGGAGGGGCUUCUUCCUUGUCUGGGCAUCUAGCCAGGCAUUUCUCCCGCCUGCCCUGCCUCCUCUACUGCACUCUUUGGGGAAACUUCACCGUCCACUCCAGCCUCAAUGUCCUCCUCAGGGACCUUUGUGAGAACCAAACUCAGCCCUUUUGGAGACCUGCAAUGUAGACCUGGAGCCAUUUACAAGACUUACAUAACUCUUCUGAAAGUCAUAGGUCAGUAUUUUGAAUCUUAAGCUUUUUUGUGUGGCUGCCCCUCCAGUUUCUUAAUUUUGCUUCAUAUGUACGAAUCUGGGGCCCCUGGUGGCACAGUGUGUUAAAGCUGAGCUGCUGAACUUGUGGACUAAAAGGUCCCAGGUUCAAAUCCCGGGAGCGGAAUGAGCGUCCGCUGUUAGCCCCAGCUUCUGCCAACCUAGCAGUUCGAAAACAUGCCAGUGUGAGUAGAUCAAUAGGUACCGCUCUGGCAGGAAGGUAAUGGCACUCCAUGCAGUCAUGCCGGCCACAUGACCUUGGAGGUGUCUACGGAUAACACCGGCUCUUUGGCUUAGAAACUGAGAUGAGCACCAACCCCUAGAGUCGGUCACGACUGGACUUAACGUCAGGGGAAACGUUUACCUUUACUUUUUACCUGUCAGAACCCUGCUACUAGAGCCUGGAUGUGGCUCUGAGUUUCAGGGUCACUGACAUUGAUAAGACACCUGCGUCCCAGGACUCGGAGGAGAAACGGCUGAUGGACUUGGCGGGGAAUUUGCGCGGGGUUUUACUGAGCGGGAAGAGACUGUUCAAAUGAGGGGGAGGGUAUAUAAAGGAGGGUUGGCCGGAGCC
rnacentral:lncRNA from 1 species